rnacentral:misc_RNA from 1 species
AAGGAGUCUAACAUCUAUGCGAGUGUUUGGGUGUCAAACCCAUACGCGUCAUGAAAGUGAACGGAGGUGAGAACCCUUAAGGGAGCAUCAUCGACCGGUCCUGAAGUUUUGUGAAGGUUCUGAGUAAGAGCAUAGAUGUUGGGACCCGAAAGAUGGUGAACUAUGCCUGAAUAGGGUGAAGCCAGAGGAAACUCUGGUGGAAGCUCGUAGCGGUACUGACGUGCAAAUCGUUCGUCAAAUUUGGGUAUAGGGGCGAAAGACUAAUCGAACCAUCUAGUAGCUGGUUCCCUC